rnacentral:rRNA from 1 species
CCUACGGGAGGCUGCAGUGAGGAAUAUUGGUCAAUGGACGAGAGUCUGAACCAGCCAAGUAGCGUGAAGGAUGACUGCCCUAUGGGUUGUAAACUUCUUUUAUAAAGGAAUAAAACGAGGCACGUGUGCCUUUUUGCAUGUACUUUAUGAAUAAGGAUCGGCUAACUCCGUGCCAGCAGCCGCGGUAAUACGGAGGAUCCGAGCGUUAUCCGGAUUUAUUGGGUUUAAAGGGAGCGUAGAUGGGUUGUUAAGUCAGUUGUGAAAGUUUGCGGCUCAACCGUAAAAUUGCACUUGAUACUGGUAGUCUUGAGUACAGUUGAGGUAGGCGGAAUGCGUGGUGUAGCGGUGAAAUGCUUAGAUAUCACGAAGAACCCCGAUUGCGAAGGCAGCUUACUAAACUGUGACUGACAUUGAUGCUCGAAAGUGUGGGUAUCAAACAGGAUUAGAUACCCGAGUAGUC